GACGAACGCUGGCGGCGUGCUUAACACAUGCAAGUCGAACGGAAAGGCCCUGCUUUUGUGGGGUGCUCGCGUGGCGAACGGGUGAGUAACACGUGAGUAACCUGCCCUUGACUUUGGGAUAACUUCAGGAAACUGGGGCUAAUACCGGAUAGGAGCUCCUGCUGCAUGGGGGGGGUUGGAAAGCUUAGGCGGUUGUGGAUGGAUUGGCGGCUUAUUAGCUUGUUGGUGGGGUAGUGGCUUACCCAGCCAUUGACGGGUAGCCGGCCUGAGAGGGUAGACAGGGUCAUGGGGACUGAGGUAGGGAGCAGAGGGCAACGGGGGGCAACAGGGGGGAGUAUGGCACAGUGAGGGGGAGUGUGAGGAAGAAGCGCUGGGUGCGGGAAGAAGGCCAUGGGGGUGUAAACCGCUGUAGCCUGUGACGAAGCGGGAGUGACGGUACCGGGUAAAGAAGCACCGGCUAACUACGUG
rnacentral:rRNA from 1 species